UUAAAGGGGCCCUACAGUCAUUUUUUAGUCGAAAAGCCACCUUAAGUAUUGUUUACAUUUUUUUGUUAUUGUCGCUACUUGACAUGCGCACCACGGCAUGCAUGCGUCUUCCGGUGUGUGGAAGUACUCAUACUCAUGGAUACUGCAUGUAAGAUACAGCCAAACGAAUCUCCGUGGAGUCCCCUACUUAAGGUGGCUUUUCGACUAAAAAAUUACUGCAGGGCCCCUUUAA